rnacentral:rRNA from 1 species
AUGAGGGAGAGCAAGCAUGGAAGAUGCCGAGAACCCAAGCUGCUCCCUCCAGCGUGCCCCCUCCAUGGCUCGUCGUCGCUCUGUGACCACAUCCAGCUCCAGCUGUUGCAGAAGGACGUCAACCUCCUUAAUCCGAUGGCUGAGCUAGAGAAGCACUCACAAGAAGAAGCAUCUCGUGCAGUCCAUCAACUCAUCAUUGUGGAGGAUUUCAAGGAGUUUCUUGAUGAUGUCAUGUCUGGUGAUGGGCCAUGGGGAGAGGAGGAGGUCUUGAGCCAUUGGGUUAGUGAAGUGAGGUUUUUUAUCUCCCGUUGCAACGCACGGGUAUUUGUGCUAGUAUUAUAUAUAUAUAAUAUUUUUCUCUCCCUAAUAAUAAUAAAGCACGGAUUGGGUCUCCGGGUUCACCGUCGCGGCGUUUUUACAUAA